AAAUUCCGUGAAAUUUUCCCGUAACGCGUCACUAAAGAGAAUAGUCCACUCGACCCAAGCACUAAUACGUUACACUUAAAAUUCUCAAUACAAAAAGCCUAACCGAAAUGUGCCAGUUCUUACUUGUGACCUGGCACACAUACGCAAAACCACCCUUACACUUACACCAACAUUUAACUGACUCACCGUAACCCUUAUUGUCUUCAAAAUAAGGUUUAAAAAUAGUCAAUCUUGUGUAUAAUACACCCACACAGCGACAGAUCCCGGGGUUCACCAUCAGUGUCGGUUGAGACUCCGUCGCGCCCGGACGUGUCGAACGAAUCUUCGCGAACGAAUUCGUAGUGAAUGCAAUGUGGUGUGCUGUGUUGUGAAUUUUAAAGAUUUAGUGCUCGUUCUGUGUGGAUUUUUGGAUACUGAGCGAAUUGUGACGAUGUGCUAGUGCAGUGCUAUGUGCGCGUGAAGUUAAACAAAAUGGCCGCCGUGUUGCUCGUGUUCUUGCUGGGCUGCGUCGGCGCUCUGGCUGAAAAAGAAACAACAGCAGCGCUAGUAGGCGAGACCGCACGUAUAAAAUGCCGUAUCGACAGCGCUUCGUGCGGAGAGAUGCAUAGUGUGAAAUGGUACAAGGACGACGUCAGGAUAUACGUGUUUUCGGCGUCUAAGGGCGCUGCCAUCAACAGACCGGAGGGCGAUAUGAUGACAAGAAUGUCAAUCAGCCACGUCCCCAACUCCACCUUCGCUGAGCUGGUCAUCAACAGUGUCCAGGCCUCAGACGAGGGGCUGUACCGCUGCGAGAUCACGUAUUUGCAAGUGGGAGACGACUGCAACACCGUGCAGCUGUCUCACUUCAACACAUACAUAAAACCAAAAACAGUAGAGCUACUGGCCAUCGACGGUACCAACUCCACCACCAUACAAGACGGGACCACCUUGGGACCACUCGUGAUCUACAAGCAGAUCACUAUAACCUGUCUCGUGAAGGAAGGAAAACCGCAGCCUAAAGUGAUGUGGUACUUUAAUGGGAAGGAGAGGACGGAUGCCCAACGCUCUACUCCUGACAACACGACCGUCCAGCAGAGCCUGGCUCUGACGAUAUCUCGAGAGGAGCUUGGUGGUGAACUGAAAUGCUCCGUCUCAUCUGACGCUUUGGACGAACCGAUCGUGAAACGAGUCAAGCUCGAUGUUAGAGUCCCCCCAUCAAAAGUGGAGAUCCUCGGUGUCGGAGACCACGUGACCCAGGGCACCACCCUGACCAUGACGUGUGUUGUCAAAGGGGCUAACCCACCGGCCCUGGUGCAGUGGUACAACGGCACCACGCUGCUGGAUUCGAGGCAGCAGGAAGUUAAGAGCGACUCAACAUACGAAACGAUGGCGAAUCUCACGUUCACGGUGACGCGGUUCGAAAACGGACGAAAAUUCACGUGCAAAAGCGAGAACGAAGUUAACAAGAUAAUCAGCGAAGAGCCGCUCAUCAGGACUAAGGAGAUGGAGGUUUGGUAUCGUCCAAUAGUCCACGUGAAUCCACCCAACUUCACCGUUCUGCAGGAUACCAAGAUCCUCCUCAAAUGCGAGUAUGAGAGCAACCCGUCACUCCUUAUAGAUGUUGCAUGGUACAAAGACGACGAAAAGAUCGACGUGAACUCCUCCCACUACCAGGGAGGCAACGUCAACCAACCAGCGCUCAUCAUCCACAACGUCACUGGGAGUGACAGUGGCAACUAUACCUGUCAGCUCAAAAAUGACGUUGGAAACAGCACUAGUGACAACGCUAUUGACGUUAAUGUUUUGUACAAACCCACAGUUCGUCUAGUUAUGUCGGACCCCAGCCCCAUUAACGAGCUGGACCAUAAGAACGUGACGCUGAUCUGCGAGGCCAUCGACGGGAACCCGAGGACCCUGGAUGAGGUCACCUGGUAUCUGGAUAAUGAGGUGCUGAAGAAGCUUCCGGAAUGCAAUGGCACUGAUCCGGCCCUGUGCGAUGAAGUGGAUCCGUCAAUGCUGCUACUCCAGGAUACAACGAGAAGUUUCCAUGGGAACUACUCCUGUCAGGGCAGGAACGCCGCGGGAGAAGGAGAAAGUAGUCCGCAGACCGAGUUGGUUGUCAACUAUCCUCCUGGACCGGCGAAGCUGGUGUACUCCCCGUGGCGAGUGGUUAAACAGAAAUCCCUCAUUCUAACGUGCAGUAUUGAAGAGAAAGGCAGACCAGAAGCUCAGAGAUUCCGUUGGCACCGCGGUGGCCGCCUCGUCCCGGACAUAGUGUCCGCCAACUGGACCAUCGACCCCAUCAGCCUCGACCACAGGACCAACUUCUCAUGUCGCGGCUUCAACGCGGGGGGCGAGGGGCCGCCUGCAACUACCUUCAUUAAUGUGCUGGCUCCUCCAAGCUUCAAGUACGCAAUGAACUACUACAGCGGAGCUUUGUACAAAUCUCAGAACAUAUCCCUAAAAUGCACCGUCGAAUGCGCCCCCCGCUGCAGCGUGCAGUGGCUCAUGAUGAAAGACAACGAGGAGAUGCAGGUCAUUGACCCGAACAAGACGGAUCGGUACUAUAUCGUGGAAAGAGAGAUCGGGCCCGAGGUUAAUAGGAACGAUUUUGAAGCCACGGAGAGUACUUUGUAUUGGAACAUGUCGGCUUGGGCUGGAGGCGUUCUGGAUCGCACGGACCCUCGCAUCACCAAAUACAUGUGCCGCUCUUCGAGAAACGACGCCGGGCCUGCUGUUAAUAGUACCACACAUUUUGCCGUGGAAUAUGAACCAGAAAACAUCACAGUGACUCCGGGAAUAGUUCCAGUGACCGAAGGUGAAAUACCCGGAAAAGUUGUCUGUUCAGCUAGAGGUUUCCCCGUCCCCUCCUACUCCUGGCGUCGUGGAAACGCCAGCAAAUCUUUAGCCAAGGACCAUACCAACAACUCUCUCGUCCUCUCUUCUUCUAACACUCUUCUGCUGGGCCAGAUGCAGAGAAAAGACGCAGGGCACUAUCUUUGUGAGGCUCAUAACAGACAUGGCGCUGUGUCUACUACAGUGUACUUGGAUGUCAUGUUUGUUCCCGAGUGUGGCAUCAAGCAAGCAGAAGUGGAUGGAGAACAAGUCCUGAUCUGCACAGCUUAUGCCAACCCUAGCGAGGUAACCUUCUCCUGGAAACUCAAAAACGACAACGACUCGCUCUCCGACGAGAAGAUCUGGCAAGUCGGCCAGCAGAGCUACCUCCGCCUGCGGCCCGGCGUCGAGGUUCACAGGACGUAUCUCUGUUUCGCUAACAACUCUGUGGGCAAGAGUAGGGAGUGCGAGCGUGAUGUUCAAGCCAACCUGGAAAGCCUCACUUCGGCAGUUUGGUGGCGGGAUCGUCAGCAACUCAUCCUGAUUGGUUGCAUUGCCCUCGCUAUCUUAGUCAUCACCGUUAUCCUCUGCAUCAUCAUCAUCUGCAUAUGCAGGCGAAUGAGAGCGAAAUCCAAAUACAAUAAUCCAGUGGAAUUAGAGGAGAGAGAAAAGUUCCUAACAGCACUAACUCCAGAUGUUCUAAGACUGACUACAAUUAAUACCUCAGGCCCACCUAUGAAUGGAGUAGAUAAUGCACCAAACGGCAACCUUGGAGCGGACAGUCCCGGCCUCUACGAGAACCUGCCGUUCCAUGGGCUCCAACAAGCACCUAAUAAGAAUACUAACAUACUUCAACAACAAUACCUUCAAAAACGUAAUUUUGUAAAUUUAAAUAGUAAAGGGAAGAAUAAGAAAAACUUCCAAAUUCCUUUACAAAAACAUCACAGUUUCUGUUACUUCCAGCCUAUAAGAGUAGACAAACGCAUACCAGUAGAUCAAGAGAGAUCAUAUAACAACACUAUAGGACCUAUGAUCUACCAACCAGCAGAAGCACAAUAUUAUACAAAAACCCUUAACCGAAGCAGAGAAAAAAACAGCCAUAAACUGAACCGACUGAAGAAAUCAGAAAGCCUACGAGAAAAGCUUUCAUGUGUAGGCGUAUACGAUAAUUACGAGAAACCAAACUAUCCUGAACCAGAAUACAAUGACUCAGAAAGAAGAUCAUACCUACAACUCUUAAAAGGCAAUUACAUAUCACACUCAACGAGAAAUUUAGGCCCCGAGCACAACUAUAAUACGAAUUUUAAUACAAUGGGCCCCAAAGAUGAAAAACCCAAGCAUAAAAAACUAGUAUAUGCAGAUUUAGCUUUAGGUAAUCAUAACUUGAAAUUUAAGAACACUGUCAAUUCAAAUAGACAUUUGUACGAUACGUACUCUAUAGGUAACCAUGAUAGUACUAACAAGGAGACUAAUAGUAGUCAUAGUAAUGUAGCCAGUAGUCGGAAAGGAAGUCACAGCCAGCAACGUAGUGACUACGCUACGCUUAAAUUUAAUGAAAUCGACGUCUGAAAGGGCCGCAAUAAGCUAUUUACCAAGAGUGACACGUACAUUUAUUAAAACGAGCCCUUCAAACCCGACGACAUGUUCAUUUACGCCGACGCCGACCUGAAAGACUACGGGCCGAUAAACUACAAGCAAGCGUCCAUCUA